rnacentral:rRNA from 1 species
UACGUAGGCAGCGAGCGUUGUUCGGAGUUACUGGGCGUAAAGGGUGUGUAGGCGGUUGUUUAAGUUUGGUGUGAAAUCUCCCGGCUCAACUGGGAGGGUGCGCCGAAUACUGAAUGACUAGAGUGCGGGAGAGGAAAGUGGAAUUCCUGGAGUAGCGGUGAAAUGCGUAGAUAUCAGGAGGAACACCGGUGGUGUAGACGGCUUUCUGGACCGUAACUGACGCUGAGACACGAAAGCGUGGGUAGCAAACAGG